UACGUAGGGGGCAAGCGUUGUCCGGAUUUAUUGGGCGUAAAGAGCGUGUAGGCGGCCUGAAAGGUCAGCUGUGAAAACUCGAGGCUCAACCUCCAGACGUCGGUUGAAACCAUCUGGCUAGAGUCCGGAAGAGGAGUGUGGAAUUCCCGGUGUAGCGGUGAAAUGCGUAGAGAUCGGGAGGAACACCUGCGGCGAAAGCGGCUCACUGGACCAUAACUGACGCUGAUGCACGAAAGCUAGGGGAGCAAACAGG
rnacentral:rRNA from 1 species